CCCGGGUAGGUUAGCCCUCCGACAUCCUUACAGAUUCAGGAUCUAAUUUCUUGGCAGGGACCAUGAAAGAACUGUGGGACACUCAUGGGGUGAACCACUUGGUUGCCACCCUGUACCACCAUCAAACCAAUGGCCUGGUGAAAAGGUUUAAUGGAACUUUUGGGGGCCAUGAUACGUAAAUUCAUCAAUGAACACUCCAAUGACUGGGACUUAGUGUUGCAACAGUUGCUUUUUGCCUACAGGGCUGUACCACAUCCCAGUUUAGGGUUUUCACCGUUUGAACUUGUGUAUGGUCAUGAGGUUAAGGGGCCAUUACACUUGGUGAAGCAGCAAUGGGAGGGGUUUACACCUUCUCCAGGGACUAACAUUCUGGACUUUGUAAGCAACCUACAAAACACCCUCCGACACUCUUUAGCCCUUGCUAAAGAAAACCUAAAGGAUGCUCAGAAAGAGCAAAAGGCCUGGUAUGACAGACAUACCAGAGAGCGUUCCUUCAAGGUAGGAGACCAGGUUAUGGUCUUGAAGGCGCAACAGGCCCAUAAGAUGGAAGCAUCAUGGGAAGGGCCAUUCACGGUCCAAAAGCGCCUGGGAGCUGUUAACUACCUCAUAGCAUUUCCCAGUUCCUCCCUAAAGCCCAGAGUGUACCAUGUUAAUUCUCUCAAGCCCUUUUAUUCCAGAGACUUACAGGUUUGUCAGUUUACAGUCCAGGGAGGAGAUGACGCUGAGUGGCCUGACGGUGUCUACUACGAAGGGAAAAAAGACGGUGGCAUGGAAGAGGUGAACCUCUCAACCACCCUGAAAUGUCUGCAGCGGCAACAAAUCAAGGAGCUGUGCACUAGCUUCACCCCAUUGUUCUCAGCCACCCCAGGACGGACUGAACAGUCAUACCACUCCAUUGACACAGGUAAAGCUCACUCAAUUAGAACCCCACCCUACCAGGUGUCUCCUCACGCCCAAGCUGCUAUAGAACGGGAGAUCUAGAACAUGCUACAGAUGGGUAUAAUCCGCUCAUCUACCAGUGCAUGGGCAUCUCCAGUGGUUCUGGUACCCAAACCAGAUGGGGAAAUACACUUUUAC
rnacentral:lncRNA from 1 species